AACGAACGCUGGCGGCAGGCCUAACACAUGCAAGUCGAACGCAUCCUUCGGGGUGAGUGGCGCACGGGUGAGUAACACGUGGGAAUGUAUCCUUUGGUUCGGAAUAACGUCUGGAAACGGACGCUAAUACCGGAUGAGCCCUUAGGGGGAAAGAUUUAUCGCCGAAGGAGCAGCCCGCGUCUGAUGAGGUAGUUGGUGGGGUAAAGGCCUACCAAGCCGAUGAUCAGUAGCUGGUCUGAGAGGAUGAUCAGCCACACUGGGACUGAGACACGGCCCAGACUCCUACGGGAGGCAGCAGUGGGGAAUAUUGGACAAUGGGCGCAAGCCUGAUCCAGCCAUGCCGCGUGAGUGAUGAAGGCCUUCGGGUUGUAAAGCUCUUUCGCACACGACGAUGAUGACGGUAGUGUGAGAAGAAGCCCCGGCUAACUUCGUGCCAGCCGCCGCAGUAAUAC
rnacentral:rRNA from 1 species